rnacentral:lncRNA from 1 species
AUGCUGUCAGGUUUGUGCCAAAUUAACACACACACACACACACACACACACACACACAGACACACACACACACACACACACACACACACACACACACACACACACACACACACACACACACACACACACACACACACACACACACACACACACACACACACACACACACACGCUGAGCCAGACACUGUGAACCUCUUGUUUAGACAGAAACGACACCAUCUUGCUGCGGUGUCCCUCUCUCAGUUCAUUGGUUGGGAAUGUAUUGUUGCCGCAGCAGCAGCAGCAGCAGCAGCAGCAUGGUUUACAGUUUGGUCCCAUAUGGUGUUGUUGGAGAUGGAGAGGGCCGACAAGUGUUCAGGUCAGACAGUGUUGGAGAUGGAGAGGGCCGACGGUGUUCAGGUCAGACAGUGUUGGGGGUGAAGAGGACCAAAAGGUCAGACAGUGUUGGGGGGUUGUGGGAGGAGGGGGGGGGGGGGGGGGGGUCGUGGACAGCGUAAGAGAGGGAUGGACGCGGCACAGACAUGCGAGCGAGAGACAGGGAGAAUGGGAGGAUGAGAGGGAGAAAGAAAGUGUGACUCUCAUUGAGGAGGAGGAGGAGGAGGAGGAGCGUGUGAAGAGAGAGAGAGGGGGAGGGGAACAGGCAGGCAGGUGACAGGCUGCUGCCGUGAGCUUGAAACCUGAACGGACACGGUCUUCUGAAGCAGCAGCUCCUCCAGGAAAAGAACAAAUGAAAUAAUUGAAAAGAGGAGAAAAAGAGAAAAGGCUUCUGCUGACGGUACACACAGGCCUGAGACAGAGUGCUCUGUGUGUACACACACAUUUGCACACACACACACACACACACACUCGCAGACACACACACACAGACAAAACACACACACACACACACACACACAGUACAUCUAUACCCUCUUUCUUUCAUUCUCACUCCCCUUUCUCUCAUUUUGUCCUGGUCCUAAUGGAAGCACGCGUAAACUGCAUUGUGUCGACAUGUUUAUGAGCUUAUCAGAUUGGGGUCUUAUCAUACUUCCAUCUCUCAUUUGGUAUCAAAAUCCGUUUCACCUGUGAAGUGUUUUGUGUUUUUUUUAUCUCUCUAUUGAGUUUGUAGGUCCCUCCGAUAUUGUGUUCUUCCAACUUCUCUAGGGACAAAAUGGCAGGCAACACACACAUGUCUGUAGAGUUGUAAGCGUAAUGGGGACCGUUUGGUGUGCGGGGCCAUUUAGUUGAGUCCCCAACAAAGCACCAUCUCUUUCUGAGGUUCAGAUUUCAUAUUCUGACUUACAUCCACCCAGAUUUGUGCCAUUUGUUCUGAUAGACCAGCUCUGCUGAAACCAUUUUUUGUUGAGAACUGCAAAAAAAUAAAUAAUCAAAAAAAUAAAUAGGUGUAGUCA